rnacentral:tRNA from 1 species
GCCCCGGUGCCGGAACUGGAAUACGGAGCCGGCUUAAAACCGGCCGCCCGCAAGGGCAUGUGGGUUCGAAUCCCACCCGGGGCA